rnacentral:tRNA from 1 species
GCCCUCGUGGCACAGUGGUUAAGAGCUUGGCUGCUAACCAAAACGUUGGCAGUUCGAAUCUGCCAGGUGCU